AUGUUUGGCAUGUUCUGCGACGACAACAUUGAUGCAGACUUCAAGUACCUCCACGUCUUCAAGCGGAUCGACAAGUGCGAGAAAUGGGCGGCUGUCCGACGCACCCUCGCCAAGGCCAAAGAGACGUACAAACCGGACGCACCGACCGCGGGCGCGGCCGACGGGCGCCCGGAAGGCAACAAAGGUGCCAAGAAGGCGAAAUACGCCGAGUCGGCUGCCGCGCGCGUGCAAGAGUCCAUCGAACACUGCAUCGCCAACGCCAAGACCAGAGCCGCCGAGCGAGAGGAGAAAACUGAGGCAAGGUGGGUUGUUUUGAUGACGAACAGCGCCGUCAAACUCGACUUGCUUCGGACCAGCGCCGCCGCGAAGCUCAAAGCUCAAGACGCCAAGAAGAGGAACAACGAUCUCGCCUUUUUGAUGGGCGGCGCUGACAUGCUCCAGAGCGGCGACAAGAAGCUCAAGGCGUGGUUCUUGGCCAAUCGCGGCCUCAUCCUGGCCCAGAUACCGGCGACGCCGACGCCGCCGCCCAGCCCGGCGGCUGAUGACGAUGCCUCCGCGACGCCCAGCCCCACCGAGGAUGAUGCCUCCGCCGCGCCGAACAGCCCGGAAGCCGCGCCAAACAGCCUGGUAGCCCCGCCGACUCCUCCCAGCCCGCUAUGCCGACGACAACGCCGCCGGAGGUUGAGCUCGAAGUCUGAUGCCUUCCGCGUCCUUUCUUUUUUGUACGCUGAACUACAUUUGAUCGCUGAUCUGUGGCACUUUGAAUCGUCGAACUAUUCCGAUGAUCGCCGGUUUAUUGUUUCUUUGAGCGGGAAUGAUGGAUUUCGAAUAUGGAGCGUCUUCGGAGGCGGUACCUGGGCGCGUGGCUGGGGAGAAAUGAACCCCAGGGGCCGAAAUAGCGCCGGCUCGCCCCUAGACCGCUCUUUUUCGGUGCCCUGGGGGGGCGAACGGCUGGAGAUGCUCUAA
rnacentral:rRNA from 1 species